rnacentral:lncRNA from 1 species
AUACUCAUGCCAAAGGCAUGGUCAAGAUUCUCCCUUGCUCUAGUUCAGGGCGUUGUUUAUUAUGCUGUUUUGCAUAGUUCUUUCUCUAGUUUUCUUUCUCUUUAAUUUAAUAUUUUUUCAGUGCUAGGAAUCAGAUCCAGUGCCUUGUGCAUGUUAGGCAAGCACUCUCCCACUGAGCCACAUACCAUCCCUUGAUGACUUUUUAAUGGUUCUGUUCUAGCGCUUCAUACAUUUCUCAUCUCUGAAAUGUAGUCCCCAUGCCUCCUGCACUUACUUGGGGUGCCAUGAUACAGCCGCCCCAAUGGUUCUUGGGGCAUUUUAGAUGAUGAAUAAAUUUGCUCAUGAAAAACUAACUUAUUCCCAGCCCACAAUGGCUUCAUUAUGCACCCCCUUCCUCUCCUUGGAGUUUUCUGAAGCAGCUUCCUUGUUUCUGUGGGUCAAAGCCACCGACAUGGCUGCAGAGAUCACUGUUCCAACCCCAAAUCGGAAGAGACUUCCAACCAUGCAGAUUGGAUGAGCAGCACCGACCGAGGACACAUGGUGCUCACUUGAGUUCCCAUGCCCUGCCCUAGUCCCUGCUCAGAAAUGGCUGUCCAUUUAGAACACAGUGUCUGGUGGUGGCAGACAAAAAGUCAGUCUUAAAACUAAUGACACAUUCCCCAUCACAGUAUCAUCCAGAACCAGUGAAGGUCUGUCAGGACAGACAGACAGACAGAGGACUUGGGAUGUAGCUCAGUUGGCAGAGUGCUUGCUUAGUGUGCCUGAAGCCCCAGUUUCAUCCACAGCAGGGCAUAAAAUAGUUGUGUUGGUGAAUGUCUGUAAUCUUAACACUCCAGAGGUGACCACAAAAGAAUCAAAGGUGCAGGGUCAUCCUUGGCUAUAUAGAAGGCCAGCCUAGGCUAAAUGACAUCUGAUCUUUUUUUUAAAAAAAAAAGCAUAAAAGAAAGAAAAGGGAAAAAAUAUUGUUUUGGUCUUUGUUUUGGUAGGUAAUAGAGAAAAAUCAGACCUGUGACAGAAAACAGAAAAGAUUAAAGUAAUUAAGUGAAUACAGAUUAGGAAUAUAAUUAGAAGUUAAAACAGGGCUCAUCCCCAUAAUUAUUUUGGCCUUUCUGCAGUGUGGGCAUUCUGUAAAUUCAUUUUAACAACCUCCACUGAACACCUCGCGGAUGCUUCUUUGUUUCUGAAGGGCUGGGUUUUGCUGUUGGUUGAACACAGCACCGACACCAAGAGGAGACCUUUAACUGCAGCAGUCUUUCUACACGUUAGGUGAACUAACUGAAGGCCAUUUGGCCACCAGAAGUAGCUGAGGGCUGGGGAUCCUGCCCUCUGCUGCUCUCCCACACAAACUGUAUCCCCACGAGUCUCCCUGGGUUUGUGCGGAAUACGUACAUGCACACCAGCAGUCAGGCUUGGUUACAGCCUGUCCCUGGAAGCCUGUGGUCCUUGCUCAUUGUUCUUUUAGGCCUGUAUUCUAGAGCCAGGGCUGAGCCAGUGCCCAGCUAGCUUCAGGCUUUAGAAUUCUGCAGUCAGCAAGAAGCUAUAGAAAAGACCAACCCCAAAGGACCAUGUUGGGCUUGAUACAAUCUUAGACCCAUAUAUAGAAGGACAGAGGACACCAGAGCAUUGUUUCUAAUGGGAGCACAUGUCUUAAGGACUUGCCAUGCCAAUUUCUAACCAGGCUUAUGCAAUUUGCCAUACCCUUAAAGUCCCUAAAACAUCAAUCUAAGAGGAUGAAGGCUGAGGUCUCUCCAAGGGUAGACACCCAGUGAUAAACCAUGACGCUUGCUAAAGAAAUCUGAGAUUGUGUGCCUGAGCUGAGCAACAUAGAUAUUAGCCAAUCAUCGUAGGAUACACAUUAAAAUUUAUUAACAUAGGUCAUAUGGCACAUGCCACAGGACAUUAGAAUGCCUGUGAGUGUUACAAUAAUGGAAGCAUCCAUUGUGGUUUUCAUUUGCCCACAAAUGUUUAUCAUGUCCCUGCUAACAGAAAAGUCAAAUUGCAGUACAUGGGGAUAUAUGUCUUUAAUCCCAGCGCACAGGAGGCAGCAGCAGGCAGAUCUCUGUGAGUUUGAGGCUAGCCUGUUUUACAGAGGAAGCUCUAGGCCAGUCUACAUAUUAAGACCUGGUCUCAAAAAGAAAACAAAAAAACAAGCUAAAGAAAAUGGAGUUGAUUGGAGCUUCUUAGUCAUCCAGAUCAAUAAUAAGGAUGAUCAGAUUAAUUUACAAAGAAAUAAAAGUAUUAGGUAAAGCCUAUGACUAGCUGUAGUUGACAAAACCAAAAUGAAACAAACAAACAAACC